UAAGGAAUAUUGGUCAAUGGACGAAAGUCUGAACCAGCCAUGCCGCGUGCAGGAUGACUGCCCUAUGGGUUGUAAACUGCUUUUAUAUAGGAAGAAAAACUUUCUCGUGAGAAAGCUUGACGGUACUAUAAGAAUAAGGAUCGGCUAACUCCGUGCCAGCAGCCGCGGUAAUACGGAGGAUCCAAGCGUUAUCCGGAAUUAUUGGGUUUAAAGGGUCCGUAGGUGGAUAAAUAAGUCAGAGGUGAAAUCCUGCAGCUUAACUGUAGAACUGCCUUUGAUACUGUUUAUCUUGAGUUAUUAUGAAGUGGUUAGAAUGUGUAGUGUAGCGGUGAAAUGCAUAGAUAUUACACAGAAUACCAAUUGCGAAGGCAGAUCACUAAUAAUCAACUGACACUGAUGGACGAAAGCGUGGGUAGCGAACAGG
rnacentral:rRNA from 1 species